rnacentral:rRNA from 1 species
CUACCCUUGACAUGUCCAGUAUGAGCACCAGAGAUGGAGCUCUUCAGUUCGGCUGGCUGGAACACAGGUGCUGCAUGGCUGUCGUCAGCUCGUGUCGUGAGAUGUUGGGUUAAGUCCCGCAACGAGCGCAACCCUCGCUUCUAGUUGCCAUCAUUCAGUUGGGCACUCUAGAGGGACUGCCGGUGAUAAGCCGGAGGAAGGUGGGGAUGACGUCAAGUCCUCAUGGCCCUUACGGGUAGGGCUACACACGUGCUACAAUGGCGGUGACAGUGGGCAGCGACACAGUGAUGUGAUGCUAAUCCCAAAAAGCCGUCUCAGUUCAGAUUGCAGUCUGCAACUCGGCUGCAUGAAGUUGGAAUCGCUAGUAAUCGUAGAACAGCAUGCUACGGUGAAUACGUUCCC